UCUUCUUCAACCUGUUCACAGAACCCUCAGCCUACAGCAGUGACAAGGAGAAAGAGAGAGAUUGUAGAUUAGUUUUAAGACCAUCUGUGUUUCCCAAUCGCAGGGACACAGCCAGGCUGUACACAAUAAAUCUAGCAGGGGAUGGAAAGUAAUGAAGGCAAUUUAACAGUAGCUCCCUGCGUGAAAGGAAAAAGCUAAGCAGUGAAUUGGAAGCAUUCAGCACCCUGGGCAGC